GGAGUCGUACCAAAUGAAGUGAUACCAAUAUCUGAAGUGAUUGGACUAGCUAAAAGAAAAUCGCUAAUAUAAUAAGUACUGAGUGAGCCUAAGAAACUGUGUGCGUGCUUCUACCCUGCAUCGCCCAUGUGACAGGGAUAGGGGCUAACUAGUAGUGGGAUACGCCGCUUGGUCUCCGCCUGGGGUCGAGCGGAAGAAGAUAAUCAGGCUGACCCAACGUAUAGCCGGUUACGGGGCGAUACUCGGGUGACAUCAAAACUGUGACUACACUCGUAGAAGCUUAUGUGCCGUUAUCUUCGGACAGGGGUUCGACUCCCCUCGGCUCCAUAU
rnacentral:tmRNA from 1 species